ensembl:lncRNA
GCUCCAGACUCACUGGAGACAUCCUGACACUUAAUGCUCUGCCCAGCACAAUGUGAUGCCCUUUACCUAGUACAAGGGGGAGUCUCAUAAAGGUGCUGCCUUCCCCCCAGAACAAACAACGGAAGUGCAUCAGGGGAGCUCAGCUGCAGACAGAAUGCACAUCUCGGAGCAGGAGCCACCCUGGGAUUCCUCAGAUGAAAGGCGAUUUCAAUGAACAUUGUGUUUCAAAGCCUGCUUCCUCUUGCGCUGUAAGAGCUGCAGAGGGAACAUCCCACUUGCGUCUGCUGACACAAAAGAAUGCUGUGGCUGGGAGAUCUUAUCAAGCCUUCCUGUGCCACAGCAACAGAGCUCCAGUUGUGUCUUAUAAGAAUUGCUCAUUGUUUCAUGAGGACGACUGGCUCCUUUGGGUGGGAUCUGAUGGCAUCUCAUGGACUUGGAGGCUGAAGAACAGCAUGGAGUUUACCUGUGAUCCUGCACUCUUUGGUAUUUCGUGCUCUCCAGGUUUCAAAGAACUCCUACACAAAACCGAUCUCAGCAGAGCCUCGGGUAACCCUGUGAGGCGAAUGGGACUGAGUGCUGCCCACGUGAUGCACUCCUCCUUCAAGCCUGGUUCUGACACAGCCCACAGAUUCUUCCGGGUCUUCUCUCUCCUCUCCUCCAUGGCAGCUGGCAAGGUCAAGAGACCCAAGGAGGAACUUCAGAGUCCUAGGGAAUUGCAGAGUCCUAUCAUGGGUCAGCAAGUUUCCCUGUCAAGUGUCAGAAAAUAA